UAUCGGAUUGAUACUAAGCCAUGCGAGUCAUUGCAGUAAUGCAAGGCAGACGGCUCAGUAACGCGUAGUCAACCUACCCUAUGGACGGGAAUAACCUCGGGAAACUGAGUAUAAUGCCCGAUAGAACACUAUGCCUGGAAUGGUUUGUGUUCCAAAUGAAUGUCGCCGUAGGAUGGGACUGCGGCCUAUCAGUUUGUUGGUGAGGUAAUGGCCCACCAAGACUAUUACAGGUACGGGCUCUGAGAGGAGUAGCCCGGAGAUGGGUACUGAGACACGGACCCAGGCCCUAUGGGGCGCAGCAGGCGAGAAAACUUUGCAAUGUGCGAAAGCACGACAAGGUUAAUCCGAGUGGUUUGUGCUAAACGAACCUUUUGACAGUCCUAGAAACACUGUUGAAUAAGGGGUGGGCAAGUUCUGGUGUCAGCCGCCGCGGUAAAACCAGCACCUCAAGUGGUCAGGAUGAUUAUUGGGCCUAAAGCAUCCGUAGCCGGCUCUGUAAGUUUCCGGUUAAAUCUGUACGCUCAACGUACAGGCUGCCGGGAAUACUGCAGAGCUAGGGAGUGGGAGAGGUAGACGGUACUCGGUAGGAAGGGGUAAAAUCCUUUGAUCUAUUGAUGACCACCUGUGGCGAAGGCGGUCUACCAGAACACGUCCGACGGUGAGGGAUGAAAGCUGGGGGAGCAAACCGGAUUAGAUACCCGGGUAGUCCCAGCUGUAAACUAUGCAAACUCAGUGAUGCAUUGGCUUGUGGCCAAUGCAGUGCUGCAGGGAAGCCGUUAAGUUUGCCGCCUGGGAAGUACGUACGCAAGUAUGAAACUUAAAGGAAUUGGCGGGGGAGCACCACAAGGGGUGAAGCCUGCGGUUCAAUUGGAUUC
rnacentral:rRNA from 1 species